AACGAACGGGGAAGAGCCCAGCACCGAAUCUCGCGCCGCACGGGCGUCGAGAAAUGUGGUGUUCGAGAGUGCCGCUUCCUGCGCGACUCGACCGGUCCAAGCUCCCCCUUGAACGGGGCCACGACCCACAGAGGGUGCCAGGCCCGUUUGUGCCGGUCGACCGUCCGAGGAUGGCAUUUCUCCAGAGUCGGGUUGCUUGAGAGUGCAGCCUUAAGCAGGUGGUAAACUCCAUCCGAGGCUGAAUAUGACCACGAGACCGAUAGCGAACAAGUACAGUGAUGGAAAGUUGAAAAGAACUUUGAAGAGAGGGUUCAAGAGUACGUGAAACCGCCAUGGGAAAAAACGGACGGGGCCUCGAAGGUACAGCCGUGGGGAUUCAGCCGAACUGGCCGCGCGAGCGAGCGUCUCCGAUCGCAAGGCGGAGCGCGCGCCCCGUGUCGGCCUAGUACGGUGCACUUCCCGACGGCUAGACGCCGCGACCGGUCGGCGGGCUGCCAACGGGCGGCGCGGGAGACUGUCGGACGGACUCGUCCCCCGGCAGACCGCGCCUCUCCGGCAGACCUGCCGACCGUUUCCGAAAAGCUCGGCGCCCGCGCACGACGCGUCAGUCGCGCAACUCUGACCGCGGCGCCCGGCUCUGCGGCGAGUAGAUCGGCGACCCGUCCGACCCGUCUUGAAACACGGACCAAGGAGUCUAACAUGUGCGCGAGUGAUUGGGUGUCGACGAGACCCAGACGCACAAUGAACGUGAAGGCCCGGACUGCCGGGCCGAGGGGUGAUCCCGUCCCCGAGAGCGGGCGGGCGCAGCCCCGGGACGCGCCGAUCGCAUCGCCGACGGCUCGUACCCCGAGCGUACACGUUGGGACCCGAAAGAUGGUGAACUAUGCCUGGCCAGGACGAAGUCAGAGGAAACUCUGAUGGAGGUCCGUAGCGAUUUUGACGUGCAAAUCAAUCGUCCGAGCUGGGUAUAGGGGCGAAAGACUAAUCGAACCAUCUAGUAGCUGGUUCCAUCCGAAGUUUCCCUCAGGAUAGCUGGCGCUCGCCUGACCGAGUUUCAUCCGGUAAAGCGAAUGAUUAGAGGCCUUGGGGCCGAAACGAUCUCAACCUAUUCUCAAACUUUAAAUGGGUGAGAAGUCGGGCUUGCUCGACUGAAGCACCGACCCUCGAAUCGAGAGUGCCAAGUGGGCCACUUUUGGUAAGCAGAACUGGCGCUGUGGGAUGAACCAAACGCAGAGUUAAGGUGCCCGAGAGAACGCUCAUCAGAUCCCAUGAAAGGUGUUGGUUGCUAUAGACAGCAGGACGGUGGCCAUGGAAGUCGGAAUCCGCUAAGGAGUGUGUAACAACUCACCUGCCGAAGCAACUAGCCCUGAAAAUGGAUGGCGCUCAAGCGUUCCACCUAUACUCUGCCGUCGGUGCAACGGCGCGGAGCCGCCUCGCGCGGCCCGUCCAGAAGCUCCGACGAGUAGGAUGGUGCAGUGGUGUGCGUAGAAGGGUCGGGGUGUGAACCUGCCUGGAGCCGCCACUGGUGCAGAUCUUGGUGGUAGUAGCAAAUACUCAGGAGGGAUCCUUGAGGACUGAGGUGGAGAAGGGUUCCAUGUGAACAGCCUUUGGACAUGGUUGAGUCGAUCCUAAGCCCAGGGGUAGUUCCCUCUUCCUCGCGUGACCGUGAACUCGAGACGCGUGGGUUUUG
rnacentral:rRNA from 1 species